UACAGAGGGUGCGAGCGUUAAUCGGAAUUACUGGGCGUAAAGCGUGCGUAGCCGGUUAUGUAAGUCAGAUGUGAAAGCCCCGGGCUCAACCUGGGAAUUGCAUUUGAGACUGCAUAGCUAGGGUGCGGAAGAGGGAAGCGGAAUUUCCGGUGUAGCGGUGAAAUGCGUAGAUAUCGGAAGGAACACCAGUGGCGAAAGCGGCUUCCUGGUCCAGCACCGACGUUCAGGCACGAAAGCGUGGGGAGCAAACAGG
rnacentral:rRNA from 1 species